GAUGAACGCUGGCGGCGUGCCUAAUACAUGCAAGUCGAGCGAACGGACGAGAAGCUUGCUUUUCUGAUGUUAGCGGCGGACGGGUGAGUAACACGUGGAUAACCUACCUAUAAGACUGGGAUAACUUCGGGAAACCGGAGCUAAUACCGGAUAAUAUUUUGAACCGCAUGGUUCAAAAGUGAAAGACGGUCUUGCUGUCACUUAUAGAUGGAUCCGCGCUGCAUUAGCUAGUUGGUAAGGUAACGGCUUACCAAGGCAACGAUGCAUAGCCGACCUGAGAGGGGGAUCGGCAACACUGGAACUGAGACACGGUCCAGACUCCUACGGGAGGCAGCAGUAGGGAAUCUUCCGCAAUGGGCGAAAGCCUGACGGAGCAACGCCGCGUGAGUGAUGAAGGUCUUCGGAUCGUAAAACUCUGUUAUUAGGGAAGAACAAAUGUGUAAGUAACUGUGCACGUCUUGACGGUACCUAAUCAGAAAGCCACGGCUAACUACGUG
rnacentral:rRNA from 1 species